AUUCUCAUUAACACCGAACCAUGCAGGAUGCCAGUUAAGUGGUAAAAUAAAUGGAACAAGAACCUUUCACAUUUUCAGUCAAAAACAAAACAAGAACCUUUCACAUUAAUUUCCUAUCUAUAUUAGAUACCAGGGGUAGCGUUAGCAUCUACCUUUUCAUGGCUCUAAUCUUAUGCAUUUCAACACUGAUGCAAGGCAAGGGGCCAC
rnacentral:lncRNA from 1 species